CCUACGGGAGGCAGCAGUGGGGAAUUUUGGACAAUGGGGGCAACCCUGAUCCAGCAAUGCCGCGUGAGUGAAGAAGGCCUUCGGGUUGUAAAGCUCUUUUGUCAGGGAAGAAAAGGGUCUGGCUAAUAUCUAGGCCUCAUGACGGUACCUGAAGAAUAAGCACCGGCUAACUACGUGCCAGCAGCCGCGGUAAUACGUAGGGUGCAAGCGUUAAUCGGAAUUACUGGGCGUAAAGCGUGCGCAGGCGGUUUUGUAAGACUGUCGUGAAAUCCCCGGGCUCAACCUGGGAAUGGCGAUGGUGACUGCAAGGCUAGAGUUUGGCAGAGGGGGGUAGAAUUCCACGUGUAGCAGUGAAAUGCGUAGAUAUGUGGAGGAACACCGAUGGCGAAGGCAGCCCCCUGGGUCAAAACUGACGCUCAUGCACGAAAGCGUGGGGAGCAAACAGGAUUAGAUACCCUGGUAGUCCACGCCCUAAACGAUGUCUACUAGUUGUCGGGUCUUAAUUGACUUGGUAACGCAGCUACGCGUGAGUAGACCGCCGUCGGGAGGUACGGUCGCGAGAAUUAAACUAACAAUAGAAGUUAGUACGGCGUGAGACGUGACCGACGGACGACGACGAGGGAGGAGGG
rnacentral:rRNA from 1 species